UGUUACUGUCAGAGUCUUGGAGGUUACCGGCCUGCUGCUUCCCCUGAACACCACUAGUUGCCGACGGUACCGCAGAGCCAGGAGCAGGACAGGUGUUUCUCAUCCCGUCAUCAGCUGGAGACCUUUAAGAGAGCGGAUUGUCAGCACUUCUACGCCUGAGUGUUUUGCGUACUUGGUACUGGAACCAAGCCACGGAUCUUCAGGAGGAUCCAGAAUGAACUCUUGCCAUAAUCCAUUUCCGGACUCUAAAUCAGUCAGCAGUCCUCUCUCGCACUUUAGGCUCUAAGUGAGACACUGUCCUUCCUCCAGCUGUGAUCUAAGGAAUCAGCAAGCGCGGCCGGAUCCUGAGCCACUCCACUAUCUUCCAGACUCGCCCUUUCUCUCUCCCUGGCGGUUCUAAACAAUUUAAAUGCCUGUUCCCGGUGCGAGCCGCUCGAGUCUACCUCCUGUUUUAAAUCACCUUCACCAGAAUGGUCCUCUGUUUUUGGGUGUUUCUGUAUGUGGGUCAAAUCGGCCAUUAAAACUAUGACAGUUAUGUUCUGUAAACCCAAUAAGAGCUGUAAGUUUCAGAUGAUGUUGUACAGGUUUAGGGCUAGGGCUACUGCA